rnacentral:rRNA from 1 species
CCUACGGGGUGCAGCAGUGGGGAAUAUUGCGCAGUGGGCGAAAGCCUGACGCAGCGACGCCGCGUGAGGGAUGAAGGUCUUCGGAUCGUAAACCUCUGUCAGCAGGGAAGAACGGUCACUGUGCUAAUCAGCAGUGACUUGACGGUACCUGCAAAGGAAGCACCGGCUAACUCCGUGCCAGCAGCCGCGGUAAUACGGAGGGUGCGAGCGUUAAUCGGAAUUACUGGGCGUAAAGCGCUCGUAGGCGGUAUGUCAAGGCAAGGGUGAAAUCCCCGCGCUAAACGUGGGAACUGCCUUUGAAACUGGCAAACUGGAGUGUGUGAGAGGAGAGUGGAAUUCCAGGUGUAGGAGGGAAAUCCGUAGAUAUCUGGAGGAACAUCAGUGGCGAAGGCGACUAUCUGGCACAUAACUGACGCUGAGGAGCGAAAGCGUGGGUAGCAAACAGGAUUAGAUACCCCAGUAGUC